UACGGGGGGAGCAAGCGUUGUUCGGAUUUACUGGGCGUAAAGGGCGCGUAGGCGGCGCAACAAGUCACUUGUGAAAUCCCUCGGCUCAACUGAGGAACUGCCUUCCAGACUGCUUUGCUUGAGUCCGGGAGAGGUGAGUGGAAUUCCCAGUGUAGCGGUGAAAUGCGUAGAUAUUGGGAGGAACACCAGUGGCGAAGGCGGCUCACUGGACCGGAACUGACGCUGAGGCGCGAAAGCGUGGGGAGCGAACAGG
rnacentral:rRNA from 1 species